rnacentral:lncRNA from 1 species
GUCGUCUUUAUAUUGUCUCUGCAGGCGCUGCUGUGUGGGCUGUCGUCUCUGGAGGAGCCAAGCUCAGAGCAGUUGGACUCGGGGACGCAGUCACCCUGCCCUGUGACCUCAAGCUCCGAGACGAGACCACCUCCUUGCCAAGGAGAAAACAGACCCUGUCUGUUGGGGUAAUAGCUUAUAAAAACCCUAUACGGCAGCAGAAUGAUCCCUCUGACCGCAAGAAGAGACUUGACUGGUGCUGCAGGCUGUCUGAUCUUCCUACUUGUGUUUUACAGGAAAUGAAGAGCCUACCCCCAACUUGAACCCUGAACCCUGAGCCCUGCCCAGCCUGACAGGAGAUCGCAGCACGAGUGAGUCUGAUCUUCACCCUGUUCUCUGCUCUCCUUCUGCAUGUGUCUCCACUGGUUCAGUCACCGAGCAGGAGAGAGAGCCCACGAGAUUCCCUGGAAAACACAGACGGACGUUCGGACCAGAUCAGCGGAAGUCUGCAGGAGUCGCUUAAUGAAGGGACUGCUUUGUACCAGAACAACUGAAAACCUGACAGAAUUAACAAGGACUCCUUUUCUGGAUAUUCUCUGUACUUGUUAACCACUGAAGAGACGGUCUGGUUUAGUCUGUUUCCUGAAUAUUUUUUUGUGUUGCAUAGUGAGUUUACUGUUUAGUCACAGCCCAGUCUUUGUCCCGAAUAUUGACUUUUAUUCACUGUACUGGUUGGUCACUGGGAUUGGUAGUCACAGUACUAAGU